rnacentral:lncRNA from 1 species
AUUCCUGUGGUCUUUCUGAUUCAUCUUAAUAUUAACAGACCUGCCUCAACAAUUCUAUACAAAUUUGCUUGUUGGGGUGUCCUUUUCUGCUGAUGCAGCUUCAUCUAAUUCUUAUAUGGUCAUCAGAAUUUGAUGGCAAAUUGAACCCAAUGUAUUGAUUGUCAAUUUAGGAAUGAUUUCAUAAUGGCAUAUAAGAGUUGGCUGUAUGAUAUGCACAAAGCAUUUUAUUUGAUAAGCGUUUGUGAUGGGAACCAGCUCCUUAAAUUCAAAUCUGGUGGUGUUUAAAGCCCUAAUCAUAAAAACAAGACAUGGUUGAGGGUUACGCUCACCACUACAUUUUUAAUCCUUUGCUUCUUAAUUUUCUCAUAUGUGAGAGUGUUUGUUGGGUACGCAUACAUAUAGGAUGUAUAUAUAUUGGAUUUUUCCUAAUAGUUUUGGCAAUAAAAAUCUUUUAAAACAGUGUCCGG